CUCUCUCCCUCUCUCACGACAGAUCUCAUCUCAUCUCCUUCUCUGCUUUUUUUUUUUUCCGAUUCUCUCUUCUCCACUCUAACCUCUCAUUCUCAUAUCUCAUAUAUCUCUUCUCUCCCAUCUCUCUCAACGCCUCUCUCAUCUCACCACCACCGCGCCUCCUCCUCGUCUCACCACCACCGCGUCUCCUUCUCGUCUCACCACCACCGCGUCUCCUUCUCGUCUCACCACCACUGUUCCCUGUCUCACCACCACCACGGUCGACGUCUCUCUCUCUCUCUCUCUUUGUAUCUGUGUAUCUCCUUCUCUCUGUUGCUCUAUUACGAAUCUGAUUUUGUUUUGUUUUUGGUAAAGAUAGGUGGAGGAGCCAAGGUUCAUGGCGGCUGGAGGAAGCAAGGUUCAUGGCGGCUGGAGGAAGCAAGGUUCAUGGCGGCUUGAGGAAGCAAGUCUCGUGGCGACAAGGAUGUGGAGGAGGCGGCAGGAGUUUUUUCUUUAGGUUUAGGUUUUUUAGGUCUGGUUAAGUGUCCUAAAUUGUAGUGGUCUGUAUUUUUUAAUUUCUGGUUUAGUUUUGUAAACCAGAAUUAAUCUGUAAACCAAAUUUAAUUAUUAAUAAAAUUUAUUUUAUUUUCAGUUACAAAA
rnacentral:lncRNA from 1 species